rnacentral:rRNA from 1 species
ACGAACGCUGGCGGCGUGCUUAACACAUGCAAGUCGAACGGUGAAGCGCCUUCCUUUUUGGUGGGUGUGGAUGAGUGGCGAACGGGUGAGUAACACGUGAGUAACCUGCCCCCUUCUUCUGGAUAACCGCAUGAAAGUGUGGCUAAUACGGGAUAUUCUGGGUCUGUCGCAUGAUGGGUCUGGGAAAGAUAUUGUUUCGGUGGGGGAUGGGCUCGCGGCCUAUCAGCUUGUUGGUGGGGUGAUGGCCUACCAAGGCGGUGACGGGUAGCCGGCCUGAGAGGGUGGACGGUCACACUGGGACUGAGACACGGCCCAGACUCCUACGGGAGGCAGCAGUGGGGAAUAUUGCACAGUGGGCGCAAGCCUGAUGCAGCGACGCCGCGUGAGGGAUGGAGGCCUGCGGGUUGUGAACCUCUUUCGCUAGUGAAGCAGGCCUGCCUCGUUUGUGGGUGGGUUGACGGUAGCUGGAUAAGAAGCGCCGGCUAACUACGUG